AGCCCUGUAGUAUAGUGGCCAAGUAUACCGGACUCUGGAUCCGGGGACGGCGGUUCGAAUCCGCCCAGGGCUA
rnacentral:tRNA from 1 species